GUGGUUCAGGUAGCUCAGCUGAUUAGAGCAAAGGACUGAAAAUCCUUGUGUCAGUGGUUCGAAUCCACUUCUAAGCGGGCC
rnacentral:tRNA from 1 species